rnacentral:rRNA from 1 species
AGAGAAUAGAUACCCGGGUAGUCCACGCCCUAAACUAUGUCAACUGGUUGUCGGGGAAGCAAUUCCUUGGUAAACGAAAGCUAAACGCGUGAAAGUUGACCGCCUGGGGAGUACGGCCGCAAGGUUAAAACUCAAAGGAAUUGACGGGGACCCGCACAAGCGGUGGAUUAUGUGGAUUAAUUCGAUGCAACGCGAAAAAACCUUACUACCCUUGACAUGUACGGAACUCUCCAGAGAUGGAGGGGUGCCCGAAGGAGCCGUAACACGAGGUGCUGCAGUGGCUGUCGUCAGCUCGUGUCGUGAGAUGUUGGUUAACGUCCCGCAACGAGCGCAACCCUUGUCAUUAGUUGCUACAUUCAGUUGGGCACUCUAAUGAGACUGCCGGUGACAAACCGGAGGAACGUGGGGAUGACGUCAAGUCCUCAUGGCCCUUAU